rnacentral:rRNA from 1 species
UGGGGAAUCUUGCACAAUGGGGGCAACCCUGAUGCAGCGACGCCGCGUGAGCGAUGAAGCCCUUCGGGGCGUAAAGCUCUUUCGACCGGAACGAUAAUGACGGUACCGGGAGAAGAAGCUGCGGCUAACUACGUGCCAGCAGCCGCGGUAAUACGUAGGCAGCAAGCGUUGUUCGGAGUUACUGGGCGUAAAGAGCGCGUAGGCGGUUUUCUAAGUUCGGUGUGAAAUCUCCCGGCUUAACUGGGAGGGUGCGCCGAAGACUGGGAAGCUGGAGUGUGGGAAAGGCAGGCGGAAUUCCUGGUGUAGCGGUGAAAUGCGUAGAUAUCAGGAGGAACACCGGCGGUGUAGACGGCUUGCUAAACCAUAACUGACGCUGAGGCACGAAAGCGUGGGUAGCAAACA